ACCAGUUCAAUGGGAAGAUGACCUCUGCUCCUACCAUGAGAGGAUAUCGACAGAAUGAGUGUAUGGGAGUUCUGAGCUUUUGGACACCUGGAUUUGACGGUUGAUCUUCAAAUAUCCACUGCUUCAAAAUCAGUCUAGGAAUCUUGUUUACCUCACAAGCGCCAGACUCCCUUUCAGCAUGACGAUGCCCUUAAACUCAGUUCCUUACAGGUGGGUUUCCUGAGAGCAUUCCUCAGUAAGCUUUCCAGCUGCAUCUCCAUUGUAGUAUCCGUGUCGAACAAACCCAAGCCAAAACAGGACUUGAAAGUGAUUUUGAGAGACAGUCUUCCCUGGUGGCUCAUCAGUAAAAUAUCUGCCUGCAAAGGAGAUGCAG